CAGCCGUAAACAGUGUGCGUUAGGUGUGUCGGUAACCACGUGUUACUGAUGCGCCGAAGAGAAAUCGUGAAACGCACCACCUGGGAAGUACGGUCGCAAGGCUGAAACUUAAAGGAAUUGGCGGGGGAGGCACCACAACAGGUGGAGCCUGCGGUUUAAUUGGAUUCAACGCCGGACAUCUCACCGGAUAAGACAGCUGAAUGAUUGUCAAUCUGAAGGUUUUACAUGACUAGCUGAGAGGAGGUGCAUGGCGUCAGUGACUGU
rnacentral:rRNA from 1 species